rfam:TPA: Bos taurus chromosome 27, whole genome shotgun sequence.
CCUGGUGGCUCAGAUGGUAAAGCGUCUGCCUGCAAUGCGGGAGACCCGGGUUCAAUCCCUGGGUCAGGA